AUUACUCUAAGCGGUGGAUCACUCGGCUCGUGUGU
rnacentral:rRNA from 1 species